GAUGAACGCUGGCGGCGUGCUUAACACAUGCAAGUCGAACGGAAAGGCCCUGCUUUUGUGGGGUGCUCGAGUGGCGAACGGGGGAGUAACACGUGAGUAACCUGCCCUUGACUUUGGGAUAACUUCAGGAAACUGGGGCUAAUACCGGAUAGGAGCUCCUGCUGCAUGGUGGGGGUUGGAAAGUUUCGGCGGUUGGGGAUGGACUCGCGGCUUAUCAGCUUGUUGGUGGGGUAGUGGCUUACCAAGGCUUUGACGGGUAGCCGGCCUGGGAGGGUGACCGGCCACAUUGGGACUGAGGUACGGCCCAGACUCCUACGGGAGGCAGCAGUGGGGAAUAUUGCACAAUGGGCGGAAGCCUGAUGCAGCAACGCCGCGUGCGGGAUGACGGCCUUCGGGUUGUAAACCGCUUUCGCCUGUGACGAAGCGUGAGUGACGGUAAUGGGUAAAGAAGCACCGGCUAACUACGUG
rnacentral:rRNA from 1 species